UCUCCGUUGGUGAACCAGCGGAGGGAUCAUUACCGAGUUUACGACUCCCAAACCCCUGUGAACAUACCUAUCGUUGCCUCGGCGGUGCCCGCUCCGGCGGCCCGCCAGAGGACCCCCAAACUCUUGUUUUAUACAGUAUCUUCUGAGUAACACGAUUAAAUAAAUCAAAACUUUCAACAACGGAUCUCUUGGUUCUG
rnacentral:misc_RNA from 1 species